GUACCUGUAGCUCAGUUGGAUAGAGUGUCAGCCUCCGAAGCUGAAGGUCACGGGUUCGACUCCCGUCAGGUACGCCA
rnacentral:tRNA from 1 species